CCUACGGGAUGCAGCAGUGGGGAAUAUUGGACAAUGGGCGAAAGCCUGAUCCAGCCAUGCCGCGUGUGUGAAGAAGGCCUUCGGGUUGUAAAGCACUUUCAGUGGGGAAGAAAGCCUUGGGGCUAAUACCCUCGAGGAAGGACAUCACCCACAGAAGAAGCACCGGCUAACUACGUGCCAGCAGCCGCGGUAAUACGGAGGGUGCGAGCGUUAAUCGGAAUUACUGGGCGUAAAGCGCGCGUAGGCGGUCUGAUAAGCCGGUUGUGAAAGCCCCGGGCUCAACCUGGGAACGGCAUCCGGAACUGUCAGGCUAGAGUGCAGGAGAGGAAGGUAGAAUUCCCGGUGUAGCGGUGAAAUGCGUAGAGAUCGGGAGGAAUACCAGUGGCGAAGGCGGUCUUCUGGACUGACACUGACGCUGAGGUGCGAAAGCGUGGGUAGCAAACAGGAUUAGAUACCCUGGUAGUC
rnacentral:rRNA from 1 species